UAGGGAAUCUUCCGCAAUGGACGCAAGUCUGACGGAGCAACGCCGCGUGAGUGAAGAAGGAUUUCGGUUCGUAAAACUCUGUUGUUAGAGAAGAACAGCGCAUAGAGUAACUGUUAUGCGUGUGACGGUAUCUAACCAGAAAGCCACGGCUAACUACGUGCCAGCAGCCGCGGUAAUACGUAGGUGGCAAGCGUUGUCCGGAUUUAUUGGGCGUAAAGCGAGCGCAGGCGGUCAAUUAAGUCUGAUGUGAAAGCCCCCGGCUCAACCGGGGAGGGUCAUUGGAAACCGGUUGACUUGAGUGCAGAAGAGGAGAGUGGAAUUCCAUGUGUAGCGGUGAAAUGCGUAGAUAUAUGGAGGAACACCAGUGGCGAAGGCGACUCUCUGGUCUGUAACUGACGCUGAGGUUCGAAAGCGUGGGUAGCAAACAGG
rnacentral:rRNA from 1 species